GUGGGGAAUAUUGGACAAUGGGGGCAACCCUGAUCCAGCAAUGCCGCGUGUGUGAAGAAGGUCUUCGGAUUGUAAAGCACUUUCGACAGGGACGAUGAUGACGGUACCUGUAGAAGAAGCCCCGGCUAACUUCGUGCCAGCAGCCGCGGUAAUACGAAGGGGGCUAGCGUUGCUCGGAAUGACUGGGCGUAAAGGGCGCGUAGGCGGCCGAUCGAGUCAGAUGUGAAAUUCCUGGGCUCAACCUGGGGGCUGCAUUUGAUACUGGUUGGCUUGAGUUCGGAAGAGGGUCGUGGAAUUCCCAGUGUAGAGGUGAAAUUCGUAGAUAUUGGGAAGAACACCGGUGGCGAAGGCGGCGACCUGGUCCGAUACUGACGCUGAGGCGCGAAAGCGUGGGGAGCAAACAGG
rnacentral:rRNA from 1 species